AUGGUCAUAUCACAUCAAAAUACCGGUUCCCGUACGAUCACCGAAGUUAAGCAAUGUCAAGCCUGGUCAGUAUUUAGAUAUGGGUGACCGCUUGGGCAUACAAGGUGCUGUAA